AGAGUUUGAUCCUGGCUCAGGACGAACGCUGGCGGCGCGCCUAACACAUGCAAGUCGAACGGAGCUUAGAGAGCUUGCUUUUUAAGCUUAGUGGCGAACGGGUGAGUAACGCGUGAGUAACCUGCCCUAGAGUGGGGGACAACAGUUGGAAACGACUGCUAAUACCGCAUAAGCCCACGGUACCGCAUGGUACUGAGGGAAAAGGAUUUAUUCGCUUUAGGAUGGACUCGCGUCCAAUUAGCUAGUUGGUGAGGUAACGGCCCACCAAGGCGACGAUUGGUAGCCGGACUGAGAGGUUGAACGGCCACAUUGGGACUGAGACACGGCCCAGACUCCUACGGGAGGCAGCAGUGGGGGAUAUUGCACAAUGGGGGAAACCCUGAUGCAGCGACGCCGCGUGGAGGAAGAAGGUCUUCGGAUUGUAAACUCCUGUUGUUGAGGAAGAUAAUGACGGUACUCAACAAGGAAGUGACGGCUAACUACGUGCCAGCAGCCGCGGUAAAACGUAGGUCACAAGCGUUGUCCGGAAUUACUGGGUGUAAAGGGAGCGCAGGCGGGAAGACAAGUUGGAAGUGAAAUCCAUGGGCUCAACCCAUGAACUGCUUUCAAAACUGUUUUUCUUGAGUAGUGCAGAGGUAGGCGGAAUUCCCGGUGUAGCGGUGGAAUGCGUAGAUAUCGGGAGGAACACCAGUGGCGAAGGCGGCCUACUGGGCACCAACUGACGCUGAGGCUCGAAAGUGUGGGUAGCAAACAGGAUUAGAUACCCUGGUAGUCCACACCGUAAACGAUGAUUACUAGGUGUUGGAGGAUUGACCCCUUCAGUGCCGCAGUUAACACAAUAAGUAAUCCACCUGGGGAGUACGACCGCAAGGUUGAAACUCAA
rnacentral:rRNA from 1 species